CCCUUUUUCUUCCUAUACGUGCCUCUCUCCUCUCAGCCGCCCCUUCAUCUUUCUCUCUAUUUCUCUCAAAUCAUCUCCUCUCAAGCUCCAUGUCUCCCCUAUCUUCCUCUCUCACUUCCAUGGGAGACCACGACUACACUCAUGGCGGCGUGCGGUGGCUCACAACGAUGAUGUGCGGCGGUUUCCAUGGAAGCCGAAGAAGAUUGACAGAUGGAGCUAGCUUGGUGGUUAGUGCUCUGCCCACUGUUCUUGAGAAUCCAAGCCCACCCAAAUCAUUCUUCAAUGAGUUGAUUGAAUCAUUAAUAUUAGUGGUUUCUCUAACCACCCCCAUUCGGACAGCGCUAACUAAGCAGAGGAGACGAGCCAGAGUUCAGAGCAACGUCUCCUAAUGUGACUCACUCACUCUCUUCCGAUCUCCUCUCUCCCAAGUUAUCCGAUCGUAGCUAAGACCUUUGCUACUACUACUAUGGUUGUUCCUGUGGAAGAAGCCAUUGUGGCGCUAUCUACAUUCUCACUCGAGGAUGAGCAAGCGGAAGUGCAAGGACCAGGAAUUUGGGUGUUAACAGAGAGGGGUGCAAUUGAAAGUCCAAUUGAGUAUAAUGAUGUUUCUGCAUAUCGCCUAUCUCUAUCAGAAGAUACAAAAGCUCUUAAUCAACUGGUGCUUUGCUGUCUAUAUCACCACUCUUUCCAAAAAAUAUUAAAUUGUUUUGGCCAAAUCAGAUGCAAUUUCACUAAUUUUGCUAGAAAUAUCUGUUGCCUGAAGUGCAAAGCUGAGGGACCAAAGAAGUCUGGAGGAAGUGAUAUUGAAAUGAAGAAAGGUGAUUGGAAUUGUCCAAAGACUAUGUUGCCACUCGAUGGUGUUGUGCUCCAGAACUUUGUGGGUCAAUUUUUCUCAAAAUACACUCCUGCAAUAGAUAUUUGGAGCAUAGGAUGUAUUUGUUGAAAUGCUUAUAGGAAAACCACUUUUUCGUUGGGAAAAUGUGAUACACCAAUUGGAUCUCAUGACUGAUUAGCUUGGCACACCACCCUCCCCAGCCGAAUCCACUGGAAGGGACUGAUGCUUUACAAGGAUGAUUGGCCUAGCUGCUGAUUAUUGUCCACGAUUCAUUCUAUAAUUAAAACAGAAAGUAUGCAUUUUAGUUUGGAAAAUUACAAGAGAUGAACAUCCAUACUCUAAUUUUAGUCUUACAAGAGAUGUGUUAUAUGUUAUUUUCAUUAUAAAUUCUAUCUUAUGUUGUUUAUCCUUGUAUAAAUCAGAUGCUAAAGAAGCUAAGCAAACAAUUACGUGGUGAGGAUUGGAAUUGGAACAACUUAACCACAUUAUGUUGGGCAAUAGGGUCUAUAUUUGGAUUUGAUUAUGACUGUUGUAACGCCCUAAACUUCAUGGACUAUUACGGUGUGCCUUCUAAAUAGUGCUAAACUCGCUAAUCGAGUCAUUUGGCCAAAAUCGUGUACCAAGUAUGAUUAGCGGUUUAGGGAUUAAAAGUUUUGAUAAGAUAUAACGUUUCAUUAGAACGUAUAAUAUAUAUGUUGAGAUCCCAAAAUUAUAA